GACGAACGCUGGCGGCGUGCUUAACACAUGCAAGUCGAACGGAAAGGCCCUGCUUUUGUGGGGUGCUCGAGUGGCGAAGGGGUGAGUAACACGUGAGUAACCUGCCCUUGACUUUGGGAUAACUUCAGGAAACUGGGGCUAAUACCGGAUAGGAGCUCCUGCUGCAUGGUGGGGGUUGGAAAGUUUCGGCGGUUGGGGCUGGACUCGCGGCUUAUCAGCUUGUUGGUGGGGUAGUGGCUUACCAAGGCUUUGACGGGUAGCCGGCCUGGGAGGGUGACCGGCCACAUUGGGACUGAGAUACGGCCCAGACUCCUACGGGAGACAGCAGUGGGGAAUAUUGCACAAUGGGCGGAAGCCUGUUGCAGAAGCGCCGCGUGCGGGAUGACGUCCUUCUGGUUGUAAACCGCAGUCGCCUGUGACGAAGCGUGAGUGACGGUAAUGGGUAAAGAAGCACCGGCUAACUACGUG
rnacentral:rRNA from 1 species